rnacentral:misc_RNA from 1 species
UCCCCGUUACCGGGGCAGUCUGAUUAGAAAAAUCCAACUAAUCAUAAGGGUUGCGCUCGUUGAUGGACUUAACCAAACAUCUCACGACACGAGCUGACGACGGCCAUGCAUCACCUGUCACUUGGUUCCCGAAGGCACUCACUGCUUUCACAGUAAUUCCAAGGAUGUCAAACCCUGGUAAGGUUCUUCGCUUAGCGUCGAAUUAAAGAACAUGAUCCACCGCUUGUGCGGGUCCCCGUCAAUUCCUUUGAGUUUUAAUCUUGCGACCGUACUCCCCAGGCGGGAUGCUUAACGCGUUAGCUUCGUUACUGAGAAAACUAAUUCCCAACAACCAGUUGACAUCGUUUAGGGCGUGGACUAC